UGUUCACCCUCCCACCUCAUUUGUGGGGACAGCAAAGAAAAUGAGAGAAAGAAUGGGCAGUUUAAAAAUAAUCAAAUAGCUAGGUGGUGGUUACAAUGCCUUUAAUCCCAGGCAGAGCUCAGAAGGCAGAGGCAGUUACAUCUUUGAGUUUGAGGCCAGCCUGGUCUAAGGGCAAGUUCCAGAGCAGCCAGGGCUACACAGAGAAGUUCUGUCUCAAAAACCAAAACCAAACCAAAUCAACAACAAACAAAAACAUUAAAUUAUGACGUGAAAAAACAUUAAAUUAUGACGUGAAUAUAUUUAAUAGAAAUUAAACAAUAUAAGGAUACUUGCCAGUGGCAGAUUCUGAGCAAUCCUUGAUUCUCUUUGCUUGUUAGCUUGUUUGUUUGAGCUUCCUAGAAGGAAGUUCAAGUAGUCCCUUACUUCAGCCUUCUGAAAAGCUUAGGACUAGAGGCAUAUAUCACCAUGUGAAUAUAUAUCUCUAACCAUUCUAUAUACUAUAUACCCUCCAUAUUAGGAAGAGCAUAGUAAAUAUAUAUAGGUAUUCACUUUACAUUGGGGAAUACAUUUGAAUCGAGCAGUUAUAUCUGAAGAGGAGAAACUCCUAGGGACAGUGGUCUCUUAUUUUUGUCCUUCCUGUGACUCUUCAUAUACAGCUAUUUUAAAAAUAAACCUGGUCUGGUAUGGG
rnacentral:lncRNA from 1 species